rnacentral:lncRNA from 1 species
GGGAAAUAUCUGAUUGAUAAAACAUGUAUUACAAAAUACACUUUUCACCUUCUCUCGUAUCUUACCGUAGCAUCAAUCGUCACACCUCGUGCAAAAUUUAAAGAAAAUAGGCUUCAGGCAGAAAACCAUUUGACAAAGAGAAAUGAGAAAUUAUAUUUGUUUGUGACCCUGUAGCUACAGAUAUUAAUUACAAGUCAUAAGAUACGAGGCCAGCAAGCUUCUCAUUUUAUGACUUUUGUAUAUACCAUAUGUAGACUCCCGUAUAAUAUAACUACAGAUGAUACAUGUAAGUCAAUGUAUACAAUCUGGACUAAAUAAGAUAGAAUAUGCAUGUACGUGAUUGGAUUCACAGAAGAAAUAAUUGAAACCAUUCAUAAUCUCUUUAGCAAGGGGUCAGCUUGAUUGGUAAAACAAUUCACCUUUUCUGGGUAGGACCCCGACAGGACAAUCGGAAUAUUAUAAUCAGAUGUUCAUAUUUUUGUUAUAGAUUCUGAUGUUUAUAUCUCAUUAUACCAUAUGAUAUAUAAUAUUACACAAUGCACAUGCAGGUAUCUGCAUUCUGUCGAGGUUACACGUGUAAUUAAAAGUGCAUUCAUUAUCUCGUUUGGCGUCUACUUUUUGGUUGAAAGUAGCCUCAAAGUUUUGUAGUCAAGGGUGUAUAAAACGUAUUUUUUGUAUAGAGUUGCACUAUUGUUUUCCCUUUUUUACCAGUUGCCCCAGACUUAAUAAGACCAGAGAACAUAGAGAUGCAUUGUAUUUUUUUUAUUUGUACCUUCUUUAAGACUGGUUUUGAGAGGAUAGCUUUCUUAUUUUUUUGCACUAAAAAUAUUGCUGCAUCGGGUAAAUGACGCAAAUAGUGUAAUGUCAUUAAGGGAAAAAAUUAUUCUAUAGAAAACGUGUCAAACUGUGAUUUUGUAACGGUUUAGAAACAUAUUUUGCACUAUGAAAUAUAGCUGUCGCAUAAACAGUGCAGUGAAUCGACAUUUCUUCUCGCAUGUUUGAAAUCACAUAAUUUAAGCUUGGAUUAGAAUUAUCUCCCCCUGAAUUUAAUUGAUAGUUAAAUCAAACAUUGGAAUGUGUAGUCGACAUUUAAAACUGCAUGUUAGAUAAAUCACACAUCUUCGUAUUAUCUAAGAUCCGUUCUGUUAAAUAUUGCAUGGCGUUAAUGGUUUCUUAACAUUCCAACAUGUGCUUCCAUCCUCAACUCUGGCAUUUGUCUAGAUAGAAAGAUGAUACACACGGAUAAAAGGAAGAAUUAUACAUUAUUUAAAGAUAUUAAAUUAACCGUUGAGAGAAAUUAUUUCAUAGUUACUGUUCAUAUAAAAAUAAGAUGUGAUAUGAUUGCCAAUAAGACAACCCUCCAUCGAAGACCAAAUCAAGUGGAAAUUG